GUCCUAGCUGUAAACGGUGCUUGCUUGCUGUAAAAGGAAUCGACCCCUUUUGUGGCGGAGCUAACGCGUUAAGCAAGCCGCCUGGGAAGUACGGUCGCAAGAUUAAAACUCAAAGAAAUUGACGGGGCCUGCACAAGCGGUGGAGUAUGUGGCUUAAUUCGAUGCAACGCGAAGAACCUUACCUGGCCUUGACAUGUACGUAGUAGAAGGGUGAAAGCCUGACGAGGUAGCAAUACCAGCGUACACAGGUGCUGCAUGGCUGUCGU
rnacentral:rRNA from 1 species